rnacentral:rRNA from 1 species
AUUGAACGCUGGCGGCAUGCCUUACACAUGCAAGUCGAACGGCAACGCGGGGCAACCUGGCGACGAGUGGCGAACGGGUGAGUAAUGCAUCGGAACGUGCCCAGUAGUGGGGGAUAGCCCGGCGAAAGCCGGAUUAAUACCGCAUACGACCUACGGGUGAAAGCGGGGGACCGUAAGGCCUCGCGCUAUUGGAGCGGCCGAUGUCAGAUUAGGUUGUUGGUGGGGUAAAAGCCUACCAAGCCGACGAUCUGUAGCUGGUCUGAGAGGACGACCAGCCACACUGGGACUGGGACACGGCCCAGACUCCUACGGGAGGCAGCAGUGGGGAAUUUUUGACAAUGGGGGCAACCCUGAUCCAGCCAUGCCGCGUGCGGGAAGAAGGCCUUCGGGUUGUAAACCGCUUUUGUCAGGGAAGAAACGCUCUGGGCUAAUACCCCGGGGUAAUGACGGUACCUGAAGAAUAAGCACCGGCUAACUACGUGCCAGCCGCCGCAGUAACAC